rfam:Apaloderma vittatum contig79541, whole genome shotgun sequence.
UAGCUCACUUAGUUGAGCACAGCGCUAACAACGCUAAGGUCGUGGGUUCAAUUCCCGU